CCUACGGGAGGCAGCAGUGAGGAAUAUUGGUCAAUGGCCGGAAGGCUGAACCAGCCAAGCCGCGUGAGGGAGGAAGGCGCAGAGCGUCGCAGACCUCUUUUGCCGGGGGACAAAAGGCCGGACUCGUCCGGUCCUGAGGGUACCCGGAGAAAAAGCAUCGGCUAACUCCGUGCCAGCAGCCGCGGUAAUACGGAGGAUGCGAGCGUUAUCCGGAUUUAUUGGGUUUAAAGGUUGCGUAGGCGGAAGGUUAAGUCAGCGGUCAAAUGUCGGUGCUCAACACCGGCCUGCCGUUGAAACUGGGCUUC
rnacentral:rRNA from 1 species